rnacentral:rRNA from 1 species
CGAGCGGACCGACGGGAGCUUGCUCCCUUAGGUCAGCGGCGGACGGGUGAGUAACACGUGGGUAACCUGCCUGUAAGACUGGGAUAACUCCGGGAAACCGGGGCUAAUACCGGAUGCUUGAUUGAACCGCAUGGUUCAAUCAUAAAAGGUGGCUUUUAGCUACCACUUACAGAUGGACCCGCGGCGCAUUAGCUAGUUGGUGAGGUAACGGCUCACCAAGGCGACGAUGCGUAGCCGACCUGAGAGGGUGAUCGGCCACACUGGGACUGAAACACGGCCCAGACUCCUACGGGAGGCAGCAGUAGGGAAUCUUCCGCAAUGGACGAAAGUCUGACGGAGCAACGCCGCGUGAGUGAUGAAGGUUUUCGGAUCGUAAAACUCUGUUGUUAGGGAAGAACAAGUACCGUUCGAAUAGGGCGGUACCUUGACGGUACCUAACCAGAAAGCCACGGCUAACUACGUGCCAGCAGCCGCGGUAAUACGUAGGUGGCAAGCGUUGUCCGGAAUUAUUGGGCGUAAAGCGCGCGCAGGCGGUUUCUUAAGUCUGAUGUGAAAGCCCCCGGCUCAACCGGGGAGGGUCAUUGGAAACUGGGGAACUUGAGUGCAGAAGAGGAGAGUGGAAUUCCACGUGUAGCGGUGAAAUGCGUAGAGAUGUGGAGGAACACCAGUGGCGAAGGCGACUCUCUGGUCUGUAACUGACGCUGAGGCGCGAAAGCGUGGGGAGCGAACAGGAUUAGAUACCCUGGUAGUCCACGCCGUAAACGAUGAGUGCUAAGUGUUAGAGGGUUUCCGCCCUUUAGUGCUGCAGCAAACGCAUUAAGCACUCCGCCUGGGGAGUACGGUCGCAAGACUGAAACUCAAAGGAAUUGACGGGGGCCCGCACAAGCGGUGGAGCAUGUGGUUUAAUUCGAAGCAACGCGAAGAACCUUACCAGGUCUUGACAUCCUCUGACAACCCUAGAGAUAGGGCUUCCCCUUCGGGGGCAGAGUGACAGGUGGUGCAUGGUUGUCGUCAGCUCGUGUCGUGAGAUGUUGGGUUAAGUCCCGCAACGAGCGCAACCCUUGAUCUUAGUUGCCAGCAUUCAGUUGGGCACUCUAAGGUGACUGCCGGUGACAAACCGGAGGAAGGUGGGGAUGACGUCAAAUCAUCAUGCCCCUUAUGACCUGGGCUACACACGUGCUACAAUGGGCAGAACAAAGGGCAGCGAAGCCGCGAGGCUAAGCCAAUCCCACAAAUCUGUUCUCAGUUCGGAUCGCAGUCUGCAACUCGACUGCGUGAAGCUGGAAUCGCUAGUAAUCGCGGAUCAGCAUGCCGCGGUGAAUACGUUCCCGGGCCUUGUACACACCGCCCGUCACACCACGAGAGUUUGUAACACCCGAAGUCGGUGAGGUAACCUUUUGG